AACGAACGCUGGCGGCAUGCCUAACACAUGCAAGUCGAACGAGACCUUCGAGUCUAGUGGCGCACGGGUGCGUAACGCGUGGGAACCUGCCCUUAGGUUCGGAAUAACUCCCCGAAAGGGGUGCUAAUACCGGAUAAUGUCUUCGGACCAAAGAUUUAUCGCCUUUGGAUGGGCCCGCGUUGGAUUAGCUAGUUGGUAGGGUAAAAGCCUACCAAGGCGACGAUCCAUAGCUGGUCUGAGAGGAUGAUCAGCCACACUGGGACUGAGACACGGCCCAGACUCCUACGGGAGGCAGCAGUGGGGAAUAUUGGACAAUAGGCGAAAGCCUGAUCCAGCAAUGCCGCGUGAGUGAUGAAGGCCUUAGGGUUGUAAAGCUCUUUUACCCGGGAUGAUAAUGACAGUACCGGGAGAAUAAGCUCCGGCUAACUCCGUG
rnacentral:rRNA from 1 species